AUUGAACGCUGGCGGCAGGCUUAACACAUGCAAGUCGAGCGGGGGAAGGUAGCUUGCUACUGGACCUAGCGGCGGACGGGUGAGUAAUGCUUAGGAAUCUGCCUAUUAGUGGGGGACGACAUCUCGAAAGGGAUGCUAAUACCGCAUACGUCCUACGGGAGAAAGCAGGGGAUCUUCGGACCUUGCGCUAAUAGAUGAGCCUAAGUCGGAUGAGCUAGUUGGUGGGGUAAAGGCCUACCAAGGCGACGAUCUGUAGCGGGUCUGAGAGGAUGAUCCGCCACACUGGUACUGAGACACGGCCCAGACUCCUACGGGAGGCAGCAGUGGGGAAUAUUGGACAAUGGGGGGAACCCUGAUCCAGCCAUGCCGCGUGUGUGAAGAAGGCCUUAUGGUUGUAAAGCACUUUAAGCGAGGAGGAGGCUACUCUAGUUAAUACCUAGGGAUAGUGGACGUUACUCGCAGAAUAAGCACCGGCUAACUCUGUGCCAGCCGCCGCUGUAA
rnacentral:rRNA from 1 species